GACGAACGCUGGCGGCGCGCCUAACACAUGCAAGUCGAACGGAGUCAAGAGGAGCUUGCUUUUCUUGACUUAGUGGCGAACGGGUGAGUAACGCGUGAGUAACCUGCCCUGGAGUGGGGGACAACAGUUGGAAACGACUGCUAAUACCGCAUAAGCCCACGGAUCCGCAUGGAUCUGCGGGAAAAGGAUUUAUUCGCUUCAGGAUGGACUCGCGUCCAAUUAGCUAGUUGGUGAGGUAACGGCCCACCAAGGCGACGAUUGGUAGCCGGACUGAGAGGUUGAACGGCCACAUUGGGACUGAGACACGGCCCAGACUCCUGCGGGAGGCAGCAGUGGGGGAUAUUGCACAAUGGGGGAAACCCUGAUGCAGCGACGCCGCGUGGAGGAAGAAGGUUUUCGGAUUGUAAACUCCUGUCGUUAGGGACGAUAAUGACGGUACCUAACAAGAAAGCACCGGCUAACUACGUG
rnacentral:rRNA from 1 species